GCUGCUGGUUUUCCACGGGGCGCGCAACCUAGGCGGGAGGCUUCGAGGUUGAGUUUCCGUGCACGGUUAGCCGGCCGCAGAAUCGCUGGCCAGGCGGCUGCUCUCUUAAAAGUGCAAAUGCCCGACAUCCACCGUCUGUUGAUUGCGUCAGUCUGGGGCUAGGGAGUCGGAGUUUUAACAAAUAAUUUUCUCCUCCUCGAGUUGGCUUCUAAGGCUCAGAAAUUACAGUUCUAGUGGACGAAAGACCCUCAGUGCUGGAGUGCACAGAUCUGAUCUUCAGAGAACAUUCUACUCUUCAGAGAAGAUUCUACAGAGCAGCUGCCCAUAUGAGAAUAGGGAACAGAUGUACCAGAAGAUGGAAAGCUCUCCCAUGCUCAUGGCUUGGCAGG